AGGAGUGUAGCUCAAUUGGUAGAGCGCCGGUCUCCAAAACCGGAGGUUAUGGGUUCGAUUCCCCUCACUCCUGCCA
rnacentral:tRNA from 1 species